rnacentral:rRNA from 1 species
AUUAGUGGCGAACGGGUGAGUAACACGUGGGCAAUCUGCCCUUCACUCUGGGACAAGCCCUGGAAACGGGGUCUAAUACCGGAUAAUACUUCCACUCGCAUGGGUGGGGGUUAAAAGCUCCGGCGGUGAAGGAUGAGCCCGCGGCCUAUCAGCUUGUUGGUGAGGUAAUGGCUCACCAAGGCGACGACGGGUAGCCGGCCUGAGAGGGCGACCGGCCACACUGGGACUGAGACACGGCCCAGACUCCUACGGGAGGCAGCAGUGGGGAAUAUUGCACAAUGGGCGAAAGCCUGAUGCAGCGACGCCGCGUGAGGGAUGACGGCCUUCGGGUUGUAAACCUCUUUCAGCAGGGAAGAAGCGAAAGUGACGGUACCUGCAGAAGAAGCGCCGGCUAACUACGUGCCAGCAGCCGCGGUAAUACGUAGGGCGCAAGCGUUGUCCGGAAUUAUUGGGCGUAAAGAGCUCGUAGGCGGUCUGUCGCGUCGGAUGUGAAAGCCCGGGGCUUAACCCCGGGUCUGCAUUCGAUACGGGCAGACUAGAGUGUGGUAGGGGAGAUCGGAAUUCCUGGUGUAGCGGUGAAAUGCGCAGAUAUCAGGAGGAACACCGGUGGCGAAGGCGGAUCUCUGGGCCAUUACUGACGCUGAGGAGCGAAAGCGUGGGGAGCGAACAGGAUUAGAUACCCUGGUAGUCCACGCCGUAAACGGUGGGAACUAGGUGUUGGCGACAUUCCACGUCGUCGGUGCCGCAGCUAACGCAUUAAGUUCCCCGCCUGGGGAGUACGGCCGCAAGGCUAAAACUCAAAGGAAUUGACGGGGGGCCCGCACAAGCAGCGGAAGCAUGUGGG